GGUGAGUUGAUGUGGAGAGUUCGGGCAGCUGUAUCUAGAACCACUUGGUGUCUGGUCAUCCAAUCCAUCCUGAGGAUGAGAUCCAUUCCUUCCAGGUCAAGGAUGAUAAGAUUCUCCUUAAACAGAGUUUGGCCUAGCUGGAGAGGUACAAGAGGAACGAUCUGAUCCGAGGCUAUCUUUCCUCCCGAAGUGGCGAUCACAUAUGAUC
rnacentral:lncRNA from 1 species